UACGUAGGGUGCGAGCGUUGUCCGGAAUUAUUGGGCGUAAAGAGCUCGUAGGCGGUGUGUCGCGUCGACUGUGAAAACCCGCGGCUCAACCGUGUGGCUUGCAGUUGAUACGGGCAGGCUAGAGUUCGGUAGGGGAGACUGGAAUUCCUGGUGUAGCGGUGAAAUGCGCAGAUAUCAGGAGGAACACCGGUGGCGAAGGCGGGUCUCUGGGCCGAUACUGACGCUGAGGAGCGAAAGCGUGGGGAGCGAACAGG
rnacentral:rRNA from 1 species